rnacentral:rRNA from 2 species
UACGAAGGGUGCAAGCGUUACUCGGAAUUACUGGGCGUAAAGCGUGCGUAGGUGGUCGUUUAAGUCCGUUGUGAAAGCCCUGGGCUCAACCUGGGAACUGCAGUGGAUACUGGACGACUAGAGUGUGGUAGAGGGUAGCGGAAUUCCUGGUGUAGCAGUGAAAUGCGUAGAGAUCAGGAGGAACAUCCAUGGCGAAGGCAGCUACCUGGACCAACACUGACACUGAGGCACGAAAGCGUGGGGAGCAAACAGG